AUUGAACGCUGGCGGCAGGCCUAACACAUGCAAGUCGAGCGGAGCGGCGGACGGGUGAGUAAUGCCUAGGAAUCUGACUGGUAGUGGGGGAUAACGUCCGGAAACGGGCGCUAAUACCGCAUACUAUCAGAUGAGCCUAGGUGGGAUUAGCUAGUUGGUGGGGUAAAGGCCUACCACGGGGACGAUCCGUAACUGGUCUGAGAGGAUGAUCAGCCACACUGGAACUGAGACACGGUCCAGACUCCUACGGGAGGCAGGAUGGGGGAAUAUUGGACAAUGGGCGAAAGCCUGAUACAGCCAUGCCGCGUGUGUGAAGAAGGUCUUCGGAUUGUAAAGGACUUUAAGUUGGGAGGCGUUACCAACAGAAUAAGCACCGGCUGACUGCGUGCCAACCGCCGCGGUAAUUC
rnacentral:rRNA from 1 species